GAUGAAGAACGUAGCGAAAUGCGAUAAGUAGUGUGAAUUGCAGAAUUCAGUGAAUCAUCGAAUCUUUGAACGCACAUUGCGCCCCUUGGUAUUCCAUGGGGCAUGCCUGUUCGAGCGUCAUUUGUACCUUCAAGCUUUGCUUGGUGUUGGGUGUUUGUCUCGCCUUUGCGUGUAGACUCGCCUUAAAAUAAUUGGCAGCCGGCGUAUUGAUUUCGGAGCGCAGUACAUCUCGCGCUUUGCACUCAUAACGACAGUGUCCAAAAGUACAUUUUACACUCUUGACCUCGGAUCAGGUAGGGAUACCCGCUGAACUUAAGCAUAUCAAUAAGCGGAGGA
rnacentral:misc_RNA from 1 species